rnacentral:rRNA from 1 species
CAGUCGCCGCGGUAAUACGGAGGGUGCAAGCGUUAAUCGGAAUUACUGGGCGUAAAGCGCACGCAGGCGGUCUGACAAGUCAGAUGUGAAAUCCCCGGGCUUAACCUGGGAACUGCAUUUGAAACUGUCAGGCUGGAGUCUUGUAGAGGGGGGUGGAAUUCCAGGUGUAGCGGUGAAAUGCGUAGAGAUCUGGAGGAAUACCGGUGGCGAAGGCGGCCCCCUGGACAAAGACUGACGCUCAGGUGCGAAAGCGUGGGGAGCAAACAGGAUUAGAUACCCCAGUAGUCCCUGUCUAUUAUAC